UACGUAGGGUGCAAGCGUUGUCCGGAAUUAUUGGGCGUAAAGAGCUCGUAGGCGGUUUGUCGCGUCGAAUGUGAAAACCCGGGGCUCAACCCCGGGCCUGCAUUCGAUACGGGCAGACUAGAGUUCGGUAGGGGAGUCUGGAAUUCCUGGUGUAGCGGUGAAAUGCGCAGAGAUCGGGAGGAACACCCGUAGCGAAGGCGGCACUCUGGGCCGGUACUGACGCUGAGGAGCGAAAGCGUGGGGAGCAAACAGG
rnacentral:rRNA from 1 species